rnacentral:rRNA from 1 species
UACGUAGGGGGGCGAGCGUUGUCCGGAUUUAUUGGGCGUAAAACGCUUGUAGGCGGCCACGCCAAGUCGGAUGUGAAAUCUCCCGGCUUAACUGGGAGGGGUCAUCCGAUACCGGCGGGCUCGAGGCAGGUAGGGGGAAGCGGAAUUCCCGGUGUAGUGGUGGGAAUGCGUAGAUAUCGGGAGGGAAACACCCAGUGGCGGAAGGCGGCUUGCC